rnacentral:tRNA from 1 species
AGCGAGGUGGGGCAGCCAGGAGUGCCCGGGGGGCUCAUAACCCCCAGGUCGAUGGUUCAAAUCCAUCCCUCGCUA